CCACGUUGCAGUUAGGUCAGACUCUGGAUUUUUAUUUGGCCUUUCUUCUCUUCUUUUUCAGCUCUUCCUUGUGAAAUUGGUUGAUGUUUUUUAGACAACUGAUGAGUCAGUUUAGAGCAAGCUUCAGCAGUUGGAUGGAUGGCCUCCCACUUGACUUUAUAAUACUUUGGAAUCUCCCAACAAGAACAAUCAAGCCGAUUCAGACGGUGCAGAAUCCAGCAGCAUGUCUGGUGUUUGAUCAGCCAAAAAGGACACCUAUCACUCUGUUGCUCAUUGACCUUCACCAGCUGCCAUCAAGUUUAAGUCACUAAAAUUUUCCGUCAGCGACUACACGGAGCUAAAUCCUGUCACAAAGACUUUCACUUCUUCCCACCAUGCAGUGAUUCCACAAUCAAAACACUUUAUAUCUGUGUUUAAGGUAUCAAAUACAGCAAGAAAAUAGAUGUAUCCAUCUAUACUUUUAUAAAAUAUUGAAUAGUCAUUUCAUAAUGUCCCUUUAUUACACUCCAAACUGCUGAUCCUUCA